rnacentral:rRNA from 1 species
GACGAACCGUGCGAACGUUGUUCGGAAUCACUGGGUUUAAAGGGAGCGUAGGCGGCCUUAUAAGUCAGUGGUGAAAUCUCGUUGCUUAACAACGAACGUGCCAUUGAUACUGUAGGGCUUGAGUACAGAUGCCGUUGGCGGAAUGUGUCAUGUAGCGGUGAAAUGCAUAGAUAUGACACAGAACACCGAUUGCGAAGGCAGCUGACGAAACUGUAACUGACGCUGAGGCUCGAAAGCGUGGGGAUCAAACAGG